CUGUCCUUUCCACGGGAAGGAAAGGCACGACCCAAGAGGUCGGGCAGGAUAUCCAUGGCUCGACCGAGACGAGCGAACUCCAGCACCGUCAGCCAAGAUCCAGCGCCCCCGGCCGCCUCCGAGCUCCACCGCCGGCGACAGAAGUGACGCUCCCGACCCCCUCCCUCCGGUGCUCACGAUCCAACUCCGCCCCUCCAGCGACGGUGACGGACCGCGACCGUCACUGUUCUCCUUCCCCGGAUCUACCCUCCGCCUCGCAGCUUCGAUCCCCUCCGGCGACGGCGAAGGCGUCGGUUCCACGGACAUAUUCUAUCUCAUUCUUCUCAUCUGCUCAUAUAUUUUGUACAGAAAUAAAAAAAAAUUGCACUACAUAUGUGACAUCAGAUUUCAUAUGUUAUAGGAGGUACACAACACUUUAUUUACCAGAUCAUGAAAGCAAACUUUCUUAUUUAUGUACUUUGCCACAUUCUUGCCAAGUUCCUGCAUUUUAAAUUGGUUGCAUGCCUAGUGUCAUCGUGCUAAACUAGAUACAUGCCUACUGUCUUUGUAUAUGUAAACAUUCGGUCAAAGAAUAAGAUGCGGUCUGAAAAUUCACAUAUGGAAGAGACUAGUCAGCCUGUACGCCUUGUCCUAAUUUUAUUUUUGAAGGAUAUGGUCUGAAAAAUUACAUAUGAAAAUUAUUUCCAUUCAAGUUCUCCCCUUUUGUUUUGUACCAAGCUAUUGAACCAAGGUUUAGGAGCAUCAAAAUUAGAUAAUUAUUCCCAUUCAAGUCCUUGCCACUAUACACUGCAUAGAUUAUUGCUGUUUCUCUUUUUGCCAUCACAAUUACAAUUGGGAGCAGCAAGAUUAGAUAAUUAUUUAGUCAUACUAGUAUGUAUAUUGUCAUAACUUGGACGAAUCAGUGAUCGGUAGUCGCUGCUAACCGGCGUUCUGGUGGAGUGCAAAAGUGGUAGUUACAUUCAGGACAUGAAAAAUUGAGUAUGAAUGUCAGCUUUCUGUAGUUCAGUCAGCUUCCUAUAGGUUUGUUUUUCUCACCCUGCAUAGCUAGCUAGUACAUAUGUAUUCUUCUGUAGUUUCUUGUGCACUCUGCAGAUUUAGAGCUAGGAAGAAGCAGUGAAGGGAGGGACCUCAGUAGGACAGCAUGAGUUGGACGGUCGCUACGAUGUGGGAACUGUUGACCGGUAAACUCUGAAUCAGCAUGGGCGACAAAGUCCGGCCGACCUCAUCGUGAUGCAGGACCGGCGGCCACCCUUGACCCUCUGCUAGAGUUAGGUCCCAUCCUGAGCGGUCCGCUGCUCUGGGCGACAUCGGAGGUGGGCUGGUCGGUGGCAUACAUACUAGAACUUGAGUUGGGAUCACUGCUGGUGCUAGCGGUGUUGAUGGUGCCAUUCAUGUCUCGCUGCAAAGUUGUUGAACAAGGCAAGACCGAUCACCCAUGAACUGAAGCACACAUGCGUGUGCAGUGUGAGCUAAGUAAGCUGUUCCCGGCCGAUGAGGAAGAUAAGGACUACUGACCGCUGCCUUACAACUUAUAUCUUCAAGAAGUAUCGCUAGCCCGGACACGAAUAUUUGAUAAUCGAUAACUUUUUGUAUGGAGAGAGAGGUCUGCGACAACCUCACAAUUCUUGUAUGAUUCAUUUGUAUCGGUGUUGGCUUGACAGUUCUAAAUUUGGGAACCUGUCGAACAAUGAUGGCUAUUCUUAUUCUAGCCCAUGAAAAUGGUCACAUGAUGUUUUUGUUUGUACACGAGAGAUCUUUUUCAGCUGCAACAUCAUAUAUAUUUCAUACUAAAUUCUGACAUUUGUGUAUUGCUGUUCU